ensembl:lncRNA
CUUUACCCAUCUGCUUCACAUCUCGUUAGCAGAAGGAUCCUAGUGAGACAGAGGCUUUGACCACAUCUCUGUUCUCUAGAGAAGGGCCCUACCCCUGGACUUUUUCCUGGUGGAAAGAAUCCUGACUGGUAGAUCGUCUGUGGUGACCAAAACGACUCUUAGAAAAACACUCACAAUAAAUAUGCCUGUGGAAAAGAAAUGACAAUUCAGGAGUUUGCAGUGUUUCAGAUGCUGGAGAUCCUAAGGUAGUAUAAUGAUGAAACUCCAGGAGGAAUUUAUUCACAAGACUAACAGACCCACAUGGCAUCCUUUAAUGCACAAUACUGAAUGCUGACACGGUUCUGCAAGCAUUGACAAAUGCUUGCUGAAGUGAAGUCCUCGUGGAUGACAUUAGCGCCCUUAUAAAAGAGACCCCAGCAAGCUCCCUCGCCCUUCCACUUUGUGAGGACACAGCCAGAAGACAACUGGCUGUAAGCCAGGAAGCAGGCCUUCAUCAGACGCCAAAUCUGCCAGGGUCUUCGUCUUGGACUUUCCAGCCUCCAGAAGUUGUAAGAAAUGAAUGUCUGUUGUUUAAAAGUCACCCAGUCUAUGGUGCUUUGCUAUAGCAGCCAGAAUGGACUAAAACAAGCUGCGAUGGGGGUCACCUACUUGUAAUAAGGUGGUCAACGAAAGCUUCUCUGAAGAGUAACAUUUAAACUAAAACCUACAGAGGAGUAGGAGUUUAUCUUUCAAAAGUGGGUAGAAGAAUAUUUAGGGCAGAGAAAAUAGCAUGUCCAAAGGCCCUGAGGCAGGAAAGAACUUGACAUAUUCAACGAACUGAGAGAAGGCCGAAGGGGCUGGAGCACGUUGAGAGAGGAAGUAAUAAAAUUAGGUUGGAGAGAUUUCAUCAGGUCAAUGAUCUUUAUACUGAUUCUACCCCCAAUAACGGAUGCCACUUUACUUUCCUCCCAUCCGUCACUUCCAAAUUUUUCUCAACCCUUGCCAAGCUGGAGGAAUGAAAGAAUCAGCCCACUGCAAAUAUUGUCAGUCUGCCUGGCUUCUGCCUCUGCCACACAGGAUUGAGGUUGUGGAAAUUUCAUCUAUAAAUUCAGUGUCAUUUCAAAACCUCAGACCAAUCUCAGCUUCUGCUAGCAGGGCUUUAAGGAGCAAAUUGCCAAGGACUUUGGAACUCAGUCUCAUAUGUCCAUUGGUGGUCUAGCUCUGGUUUUGUGCCUGUGCUCAUAAAGAGCUCCUACCCUCUCUUGAAGAUCUGGUCCUAAACAAUUCUUAUAAAUGCAUUCAUUCCUUCAAGUCAUUUAUUCGGUUUUUGUUGAGGGACUUCCUCUGGGUAAGGCACCGUCUUAGGCCCUGAGGAUAUAAAGACAAGAUGGCUGCCUCCUCUGGGUGCUCACAGGGUAGGAGGCAAGCAGGCAGUGGGUGAGUGCAGCGACAGAGAGCACAGUCUGUGGAGCUCAGGAAAGGCUUCUGAGAAGAGAGACAAAGAUAAGGAAACUGAGUCAAGCACAGGGGACAAGUGAGAGGAGCAGAGUAGAGAGUGGGGCAGAGCCUUCUAGGCAGGAUCUGAGGAGGCAAGAUACGAUGUGGUGAGAGUGAAGAACUCUUAGCAGCAACCAGAUCCUGGCCACGUGUCUGUCAUGCCAGGAUCUGGACUUACAUUGCUCUUCCCAGGCACCAGCUGUGCACCUGAACUCAGGGCCACUGACCUGUGCAGACUUUCCUCGUGUAGACUUGGUGCCCUUCAGAACCUGCUCUGGGAUCCGCCAUUGUAGUAUUCUGCCCGUUUAUUGGGGACAUAGUGGCCUGUCAUCUGCUGUAGUCUCCUGAUCCUGCCCUGCUGUUCCUCCCUGCAUUUAU